UACGUAGGGUGCGAGCGUUAAUCGGAAUUACUGGGCGUAAAGCGUGCGCAGGCGGUUCGUUGUGUCGGCGGUGAAAGCCCCGGGCUUAACCUGGGAAUGGCCGUUGAAACUGGCGAACUGGAGUGUGGCAGAGGGGGGUGGAAUUCCGCGUGUAGCAGUGAAAUGCGUAGAGAUGCGGAGGAACACCGAUGGCGAAGGCAGCCCCCUGGGCUAACACUGACGCUCAGGUGCGACAGCGUGGGGAGCAAACAGG
rnacentral:rRNA from 1 species